rnacentral:rRNA from 1 species
AGCGAACGCUGGCGGCAGGCCUAACACAUGCAAGUCGAACGGACCCUUCGGGGUUAGUGGCGGACGGGUGAGUAACACGUGGGAACGUGCCUUUAGGUUCGGAAUAGCUCCUGGAAACGGGUGGUAAUGCCGAAUGUGCCCUUCGGGGGAAAGAUUUAUCGCCUUUAGAGCGGCCCGCGUCUGAUUAGCUAGUUGGUGAGGUAACGGCUCACCAAGGCGACGAUCAGUGGCUGGUCUGAGAGGAUGACCAGCCACACUGGGACUGAGACACGGCCCAGACUCCUACGGGAGGCAGCAGUGGGGAAUCUUGCGCAAUGGGCGAAAGCCUGACGCAGCCAUGCCGCGUGAAUGAUGAAGGUCUUAGGAUUGUAAAAUUCUUUCACCGGGGACGAUAAUGACGGUACCCGGAGAAGAAGCCCCGGCUAACUUCGUG